ACUGCAGCCUCUACCUCCCUGGGCUCAAGUGAUCCUCCUGCCUCAGCCUCCUGAGUAUCUAGGACUACAGUUUGGGACCCACUCUGGAACCUGAGGAAGUGGUAAACAGGCUGAUGCAUGGGAUUCUGACUGAGCAGAAGAUGAUUUUUAUUCCAUCUUCUAUAGCUUUUUUAACAACAUUGGAAAGCGCGGUGUGGAGGAAACUGCAGCUGAGUGCCGAAAACUAGGCGUCACUGCGCAUGCGUAUGUGGUAGACUGCAGCAACAGAGAAGAGAUCUAUCGCUCUCUAAAUCAGGUGAAGAAAGAAGUGGGUGAUGUAACAAUCGUGGUGAAUAAUGCUGGGACAGUA
rnacentral:lncRNA from 10 species